GGGGGGGGGGGGGGGGGGGGGGAGGGCGGGGAGGUCGGGCGGAGGGAGGGGGAGCGGGCUUGGGUGAGGUUAGGGGCGGGGGGGUGAGUGACACGUGGAUAACCUGCCUAUGAGACUGGGAUAACUUCGGGAAAGCGGAGCUAAUACCGGAUAAGAUUGUGAAACGCAUGGUUCAAAAGUGAAAGACGGUCUUGCUGUCACUUAUAGAUGGAUCCGCGCUGCAUUAGCUAGUUGGUAAGGUAACGGCUUACCAAGGCAACGAUGCAUAGCCGACCUGAGAGGGUGAUCGGCCACACUGGAACUGAGACACGGUCCAGACUCCUACGGGAGGCAGCAGUAGGGAAUCUUCCGCAAUGGGCGAAAGCCUGACGGAGCAACGCCGCGUGAGUGAUGAAGGUCUUCGGAUCGUAAAACUCUGUUAUUAGGGAAGAACAUAUGUGUAAGUAACUGUGCACAUCUUGACGGUACCUAAUCAGAAAGCCACGGCUAACUACGUG
rnacentral:rRNA from 1 species